rnacentral:rRNA from 1 species
CGCGCGGAACACGAGCCAUAUAUAUAAUCAGUAAACACAACGACGAAGGUGUGUCCCCGUUUUUUUUUUUUAAUUGUUCCUCUCGCUCAGAUUGAACGCUGGCGGCAGGCCUAACACAUGCAAGUCGAGCGGAUGACGGGAGCUUGCUCCUUGAUUCAGCGGCGGACGGGUGAGUAAUGCCUAGGAAUCUGCCUGGUAGUGGGGGACAACGUUUCGAAAGGAACGCUAAUACCGCAUACGUCCUACGGGAGAAAGCAGGGGACCUUCGGGCCUUGCGCUAUCAGAUGAGCCUAGGUCGGAUUAGCUAGUUGGUGGGGUAAUGGCUCACCAAGGCGACGAUCCGUAACUGGUCUGAGAGGAUGAUCAGUCACACUGGAACUGAGACACGGUCCAGACUCCUACGGGAGGCAGCAGUGGGGAAUAUUGGACAAUGGGCGAAAGCCUGAUCCAGCCAUGCCGCGUGUGUGAAGAAGGUCUUCGGAUUGUAAAGCACUUUAAGUUGGGAGGAAGGGCAGUAAGUUAAUACCUUGCUGUUUUGACGUUACCGACAGAAUAAGCACCGGCUAACUCUGUGCCAGCAGCCGCGGUAAUACAGAGGGUGCAAGCGUUAAUCGGAAUUACUGGGCGUAAAGCGCGCGUAGGUGGUUCGUUAAGUUGGAUGUGAAAGCCCCGGGCUCAACCUGGGAACUGCAUCCAAAACUGGCGAGCUAGAGUACGGUAGAGGGUGGUGGAAUUUCCUGUGUAGCGGUGAAAUGCGUAGAUAUAGGAAGGAACACCAGUGGCGAAGGCGACCACCUGGACUGAUACUGACACUGAGGUGCGAAAGCGUGGGGAGCAAACAGGAUUAGAUACCCUGGUAGUCCACGCCGUAAACGAUGUCAACUAGCCGUUGGAAUCCUUGAGAUUUUAGUGGCGCAGCUAACGCAUUAAGUGACCGCAUGGGAGACGCGACUGU